UACCAGACUCCUACGGGAGGCAGCAGUGGGGAAUAUUGCACAAUGGGGGAAACCCUGAUGCAGCAACGCCGCGUGAGUGAAGAAGUAUUUCGGUAUGUAAAGCUCUCUCAGCAGGGAAGAAAAUGACGGUACCUGAGUAAGAAGCCCCGGCUAACUACGUGUCAGCAGCCGCGGUAAUACGUAGGGGGCAAGCGUUAUCCGGAUUUACUGGGUGUAAAGGGAGCGUAGACGGCGAUGCAAGUCUGAAGUGAAAGCCCGGGGCUCAACCCCGGGACUGCUUUUGAAACUGUCAGGCUGGAGUGCAGGAGAGGUAAGUGGAAUUCCUAGUGUAGCGGUGAAAUGCGUAGAUAUUAGGAGGAACACCAGUGGCGAAGGCGGCUUACUGGACUGUAACUGACGUUGAGGCUCGAAAGCGUGGGGAGCAAACAGGAUUAGAUACCCCCGUAU
rnacentral:rRNA from 1 species